rnacentral:rRNA from 1 species
GAUGAACGCUGGCGGCGUGCCUAAUACAUGCAAGUCGAGCGAACGGACGAGAAGCUUGCUUCUCUGAUGUUAGCGGCGGACGGGUGAGUAACACGUGGAUAACCUACCUAUAAGACUGGGAUAACUUCAGGAAACCGGAGCUAAUACCGGAUAAUAUUUUGAACCGCAUGGUUCAAAAGUGAAAGACGGUCUUGCUGUCACUUAUAGAUGGAUCCGCGCUGCAUUAGCUAGUUGGUAAGGUAACGGCUUACCAAGGCAACGAUGCAUAGCCGACCUGAGAGGGUGAUCGGCCACACUGGAACUGGGACACGGUCCAGACUCCUACGGGAGGCAGCAGUAGGGAAUCUUCCGCAAUGGGCGAAAGCCUGACGGAGCAACGCCGCGUGAGUGAUGAAGGUCUUCGGAUCGUAAAACUCUGUUAUUAGGGAAGAACAUAUGUGUAAGUAACUGUGCACAUCUUGACGGUACCUAAUCAGAAAGCCACGGCUAACUACGUGCCAGCAGCCGCGGUAAUACGUAGGUGGCAAGCGUUAUCCGGAAUUAUUGGGCGUAAAGCGCGCGUAGGCGGUUUUUUAAGUCUGAUGUGAAAGCCCACGGCUCAACCGUGGAGGGUCAUUGGAAACUGGAAAACUUGAGUGCAGAAGAGGAAAGUGGAAUUCCAUGUGUAGCGGUGAAAUGCGCAGAGAUAUGGAGGAACACCAGUGGCGAAGGCGACUUUCUGGUCUGUAACUGACGCUGAUGUGCGAAAGCGUGGGGAUCAAACAGGAUUAGAUACCCUGGUAGUCCACGCCGUAAACGAUGAGUGCUAAGUGUUAGGGGGUUUCCGCCCCUUAGUGCUGCAGCUAACGCAUUAAGCACUCCGCCUGGGGAGUACGACCGCAAGGUUGAAACUCAAAGGAAUUGACGGGGACCCGCACAAGCGGUGGAGCAUGUGGUUUAAUUCGAAGCAACGCGAAGAACCUUACCAAAUCUUGACAUCCUUUGACAACUCUAGAGAUAGAGCCUUCCCCUUCGGGGGACAAAGUGACAGGUGGUGCAUGGUUGUCGUCAGCUCGUGUCGUGAGAUGUUGGGUUAAGUCCCGCAACGAGCGCAACCCUUAAGCUUAGUUGCCAUCAUUAAGUUGGGCACUCUAAGUUGACUGCCGGUGACAAACCGGAGGAAGGUGGGGAUGACGUCAAAUCAUCAUGCCCCUUAUGAUUUGGGCUACACACGUGCUACAAUGGACAAUACAAAGGGCAGCGAAACCGCGAGGUCAAGCAAAUCCCAUAAAGUUGUUCUCAGUUCGGAUUGUAGUCUGCAACUCGACUACAUGAAGCUGGAAUCGCUAGUAAUCGUAGAUCAGCAUGCUACGGUGAAUACGUUCCCGGGUCU